AGUGAACGCUGGCGGUAGGCCUAACACAUGCAAGUCGAACGGCAGCACAGUAAGAGCUUGCUCUUACGGGUGGCGAGUGGCGGACGGGUGAGGAAUACAUCGGAAUCUACUUUUUCGUGGGGGAUAACGUAGGGAAACUUACGCUAAUACCGCAUACGACCUACGGGUGAAAGCAGGGGAUCUUCGGACCUUUCGCGAUUGAAUGAGCCGAUGUCGGAUUAGCUAGUUGGCGGGGUAAAGGCCCACCAAGGCGACCAUCCGUAGCUGGUCUGAGAGGAUGAUCAGCCACACUGGAACUGAGACACGGUCCAGACUCCUACGGGAGGCAGCAGUGGGGAAUAUUGGACAAUGGGCGCAAGCCUGAUCCAGCCAUACCGCGUGGGUGAAGAAGGCCUUCGGGUUGUAAAGCCCUUUUGUUGGGAAAGAAAAGCAGCAGGUUAAUACCCCGCUGUUCUGACGGUACCCAAAGAAUAAGCACCGGCUAACUUCGUG
rnacentral:rRNA from 1 species